CCUUCCUUCCCGGAGGACGAGGAACUUGGUGCUAGAAAGGUGAAGGCCCAAGGGCCGACCAUCCGCACUGGUUCCUCAGUCGCCCCUCCCCACGCCCUGUCGCCUAUUUACUUGUGCGGGCUGUGCAGUGUCCGGCUCCUUGGGGCAUGAUGUCAGGGUGGUGCUGGGGAAGGUGCCCUCUCACUGCCGACCUAUGUAGCGGCAACCUCCGGCCUCCUUUGGUUGCUGCUCGGACGUUCUUGGCUCCGAGCGGCCUCAGCUGUGGAAAGCCAUUUGGCCAAGCACUUCUAAACCCCUCCUUCUAACAUCCCUAAUCCUCUCAUCUGCCCUGGAAGGUGGUAUAACGGCUACCCCUGGAGAGGCUAAGUAACUCGCCCUAGGCCACAGAACUUAAAUGGCGGAAUAGGAGGUUCGCCCCGAGCCUGUUCGCAUCUAAAGCUCUUUGCAUAAGUUCCAUCGCCUUCCUCACAGCUUAGUGAAGACAGGGCAGGCGCUGCGGAUCUUAGGCUCAUGCUUUGCCCGGCGGUACCGACUAGCGCUGCUUUAGGCCGGCGCGCAGACGCCCAACUCCGCGUCCCCUGCGCGCUCAGCCGGCCGGUCUGGCCUGUUUAAGGAGCGAGCCCGGCCCGUCUCCCUUCGCCUUUCCGCCUUCCUUUCCCCGGCCCUUCCUUAGGGGACUGACAGCGCGCGCGCGGUCGCGGAGGCCGCGGGCGAGUGGGUGGAGUUUGCUGCGCGGCGGCGCCGGCCGCAGCUAGUGGGUCCCGGUGGGCUCUGGGGCGGGGCUGCGGGGGUGCGCGGACCGGCCGAGCGACCCUGCCGGGAUGGGGAGUGUGACUGCUCCGUCAGGGGCCUGCGCCGUGGAGAGCGGCUCCGCGACCACCGCUGGCCAGAGCCCCGCCGUCUUCUGCUAGAGAUGCUCUUCCUCUCGUUUCAUGCAGGCUCCUGGGAAAGCUGGUGCUGCUGUCUGAUUCCAGCAGACAGACCUUGGGACCGGGGUCGGCGUGGGCGGCUGGAGAUGGCGGACACCAGAUCCGUGCACGAAGCCAGGUUUGAGGCGGCGGUGAAGGUGAUACAGAGUUUGCCAAAAAAUGGUUCCUUCCAGCCAACAAAUGAAAUGAUGCUCAAAUUCUAUAGCUUCUAUAAGCAGGCAACUGAAGGACCCUGUAAACUUUCAAGGCCUGGAUUCUGGGAUCCUAUUGGAAGAUAUAAGUGGGAUGCUUGGAGUUCAUUGGGUGAUAUGACCAAAGAGGAAGCUAUGAUUGCAUAUGUUGAAGAAAUGAAAAAGAUUCUUGAAACUAUGCCGAUGACUGAGAAAGUUGAAGAACUGUUACAUCUCAUAGGUCCAUUUUAUGAAAUUGUUGAGGACAAAAAAAGUGGCAGAAGUUCUGAUCUAACCUCAGUCCGACUGGAGAAAAUCUCUGAAUACUUAGAAGAUCUUGGUAAUGUUCUAACUUCUACUCCAAAUGCCAAAACUGUUAAUGGUAAGGCUGAAAGCAGUGAUAGUGGCACUGAGUCUGAGGAGGAAGAGAUCCAAGAAGAAGGAAAAGGAACAGAACAAAGUGACAAUGGGAAGAAAAUGGUGAAAUCCACAGACGAAGAGAAUUUAGAAAUCAUUGUCACUAAUGGCUGUGACAGAGACAGCUUUGUUCAAGAUACACAGAAUGACAUUCAUGCCAGUUCUUCCCUGAAUGGCAGGAGUGCUGAAGAAGUAAAGCCUGUAGUUGAAAGCUUGGAGCAAACUGGAAAAACUACUGUCUGCCUUCACCGAGAUAUAAAUGAUGAUCAUGUUGAAGAUGUUUCUGGAAUUCAUCAUUUGACAAGUGAUUCAGACAGUGAAAUUUACUGUGAUUCCAUGGAACAAUUUGGACAAGAAGAGUCUUCAGACAGCUUUACAUCGAACAAUGGACUACGUCAAUAUUACUUGGGUGGUGAUCCCAAUCAGCCCUUGGAAAAUUCUGAUUUUCCUGAAGAUUUCCAAGUAUCUUCCAGAAAUGGAAACACUGGGGAUAUGCAGGUGGUAGCAGUUGAAGGAAAGGGUGAAGUAAAGCACGGAGGAGAAGAUGGUGGAAAUAGCAGUGGAGCCCCACCCCAUGAGAGACGGGGUAGAGAGAAUGAGGAAUUCUCUAAUGUCAGAAGAGGGAGAGGUCAUAGGAUGCAACAUCUGAGUGAAGGAACCAAGGGUUGGCAAGUGGGAAGCGGAGGUGAUGGGGAACGCUGGGGUUCAGACAGAGGGUCGAGAGGCAGCCUCAGUGAGCAGAUUGCCCUUGUGCUCAUGCGACUGCAGGAGGACAUGCAGAAUGUCCUUCAGAGACUUCACAAACUGGAAACACUGACAGCUUCAGAGGCAAAAUCAUCAACAUUACAGACUAGUAAUCAGCCUCCCUCACAGAGACCGUCUUGGUGGCCCUUUGAGAUGUCUCCUGGUGCAUUAACUUUUGCUAUCCUCUGGCCUUUUAUUGCCCAGUGGUUGGUACAUUUAUAUUAUCAAAGAAGAAGAAGGGGCCUUUUUUCUUCAUGUCUCAAGGGAUCUCCUGUUAUAUGAAAAUUGGUGACUUAAAAUGUCAGUCCUGCCAGGGAUGUGUUCACUCCUGCCAGGGAUGUGUACAGAAGAGGAUUUCUACAGAAGAUAAGGAGUGACCUGAUUAUUUAAGAUGUCACUUCUGCCAAGGGGGUUGCUUAAGAGCAUUUCUGCAGAGGAGAGGACUGAAUCCAUAAAAACUGAAUUGAAGAAAAUGGUAUUUAACUCAAGAGGACUGCUGGGCCUGGAUGACCUCAGGAUGAAAUGGACUGUGGAGCCCACAAGAUAAUGUUAACUUGUGAUGAUUAUAUUUUUUUCUGUUGUCCAGUAGUUUGAUUUGUGUACAUGUAUACAUAUAUGUAUUUUGAAGUACACAAAUGAUAACAUUUUAAGGACUAAUAUUGCUGAUACUUGAAUAAUCAAUCCCAACUAGGUUAUAAGUAGCGUACAUAGAUUGACCCUGCCCUUUAACUUGAAGGACAUUAAAUUAUUAAUUAUUGUUUGGUAACAUGUUUACCCGAUUAUCCACCAUAGAGAAAUGUAAGCUGCUUUUCCAGGGAACAGUUGUGAUCAUGAGAUCAGAUUUGUAAGUGAGUAUUUUUAAUUUUCUAAAUUAAAUAUGAGAAAGAAUGCAAAUUCCAGGAGUGAAUUUCAAAUGAGAUUAAGUGGACUUUAUAUUUUAGUCACUGGAUUGCCAUGCGAAGGAGUAGAAAGCUGCUAGAGAGAACUGUCUCCACAUCCACUUUGUGGGCUGCCUGUACUCUUUCUUGGCCAUUCACAGCUCUGACUUGCAUACUCAAGCAUCAUUACAAAGUAGGGCCCUGUGUACUAGGCUUUCUUUUAACUAAUGAUUCAUAGAAAAGACGCGUAACCUAUCGAUGAAAAUGAAGGAUGGGUUGAAAGUGUAUUCUGAGCCUGCAGCUCAUUAAAGGUUUCUAUUCAGUCAUUUACACUGAUUCCUUUGUAAUCGUUUUUCUUUUAACUGAGGAUAUCUUGUUUCUGCUUCAUAGGGAACUUUGAAAUAUAAAAUGAAAACUUACUUAUACUGUUUUUACAAAGGUCAAAAUGGAAACACGUGUAAGUCACUUUUCUGCAACUGGCAAACUGCACAGCCUGGACUCUUAACCUCCUAGUGCCUCUGUUUCUCCUUCUGGUAUAUUUGAGAUGAUCUAUUUCACAGCAUAUGGGAGGUUUGCAAGCUAGCAGGCCAUAUGCAUCCAUGUGGGUAAGGCGUGCCCAAGUAAUGCCGAUCGAAGUGUCUCUCCCCCACUCCCGACGUUUAGAUGAAGAAGAUGGUGACUUCAGUCCUUGAAGGCUUUGUUUGGAGUUAUUUUUCUUGUAUACCUUCCAAAAGUCCCUUGUACUUUAAAUAUUUCUCUGAUUCAAUGGCUUAGUAGCAAAUAAUUUUUAAGCGUACUUGGUAUGUUUGAUGUUGGGUUUAGCAUUAUGUGUUCAUGCUAAGUUUUCAGUAAGAGAAAGUAAUCCAUCCCCAGCAUAGAGGAUGGUACUUUGUUUGUCUGAUGAAAAAAAGUGUAAGAAUACAACUGGCUUCUCCCAAGACUCCUUUUUCCUUAUUUCUUUUCUGUCGUGUAACUUGAUUUAAAAAUUUUUUUAAUCCCUUCUUGAUUAAAAUGUGUCUGAAGAGAACUACUAAUCCUUGCCUUUUCAAAACUUUCCUCUAUUUAUGGAAAAAAAAUGAAGCAAGUGAGUGAAUUAUAUGUAAAAAUAAGGUUCAGACCUGGUGGAUCAGAGGUUAUU